rnacentral:lncRNA from 1 species
AAUUCAAUUUUUCUGUGUCACACCCCAAUUCCAUAGCAGAAACCAUGAAACGACAACAGACCGCCGUAUGUACACCAACCCUGUACACACGAAGCGUCUAACACAAUAAAAGCAACAACAUAACUCUAAAAUCCACAACAAAAAAAUCUCCAAGCGGAUCCAUAACUAACAAUUCUAAAGUUAUAGAACUAAACAUGAAACAU